rnacentral:lncRNA from 1 species
CAAAAUUAUUAUAUCAAAUAUGAACUUGUAAUUUUUUUUUCUAAAUUUGUCCGUUUGUUACUCGUUUGAGUUGUUUAACAUUGUUCAUGUCGUGCCUUUUUACUCGGACUAAAUACGGUAUUAUAAGGUUUUCUCAUCACAAGACUAUGACUUUUAGUACCGUAAAUUAUGUGACGGAACAAUGCCGGUUGUCUCCUAUUUAUGGAAUACUAAUAUGAAAUUAGCCAUA